rnacentral:rRNA from 1 species
AGAGUUGAUCAUGGCUCAGAACGAACGCUGGCGGCGCGUUUAAGCAUGCAGUCGAGCGGCAGGGCCUCGGGCCCUAGAGCGGCGGACGGGUGAGUAACACGUGGACAAUCUGCCCCCCGGCCCGGGAUAGCCCAGGGAAACCUGGAUUAAUACCGGAUGAGACGGGACCCGCGAUGGCGGGAUCCGGGAAAGGCGCUGCGGCGCCGCCGGGGGAUGAGUCUGCGUCCCAUUAGCUAGACGGCGGGGUAACGGCCCACCGUGGCGACGAUGGGUAGCCGGCCUGAGAGGGUGGACGGCCACAUUGGAACUGAGACACGGUCCAGACUCCUACGGGAGGCAGCAGCUAAGAAUCUUCCGCAAUGGGCGAAAGCCUGACGGAGCGACGCCCGCGUGAACGAAGAAGGCCGUGAGGUUGUAAAGUUCUUUUCGGGAGGGGGAACAACCGUGGCAGGGAAUGGCCGCGGGAUGACGUGAAUCCCGGAAUAAGCCCCGGCUAACUACGUGCCAGCAGCAGC